rnacentral:lncRNA from 1 species
AUCUUUGGAAGAGUCCAAAUCAAGAAGAAGGAGGCACCUGAUCAACCAUCAAAGAAGGAUCAGCGCAGUACUAGCAUACUGUGCUGAUUUCCUGAAGCAGGACUUCUGAUCGAGAUUCGUGGGCUCGUGUGGACGAUUCCUAGAGGCCGGACGUGUGUGCGGCUUGCAACAUCAUCCUUAAGCCCGGAUCAGCGAGGUUAAAGCGUCUAACUUGCAAGGUAAUAGAUCUGAUCUAUUGUUUAAUACAUACAUUAGAUGUAGCUAGUAUAGAAACAUGUUGAUAUGAUCAACAUGUAGUUCAUACUAUAUAUUUAUAUAUUUUAAUUUUUGAUUUAAUGCCAUGUAAUAAUCAUGUAAUAGGAUCUUAGAUCUAGGGAUUCUCUGGUUUUAGAAAAUAAAUUUUGAUUUAUUUUAGUCUUCCGCUGUAUGAUCUUGAAAAAGUUUCAAGAUCUAACCCUGAAACCCUAGAUCUGGUUCCUACACCACGGUCAUGAGGCUCUAGUUUGUGGGUCUCAUGGGGGCUAAUCCAAGUUUGGACCAAAUUUUGGAUCCAUGAGGAUGAGUGCAUGGCAAGACAUGAGUGUAGAUGGG